rnacentral:rRNA from 1 species
UACGGAGGGUGCAAGCGUUAUCCGGAUUCAUUGGGCUUAAAGGGCGCGUAGGUGGGCUGGUAAGUCAGUGGUGAAAUCCCCAAGCUUAACUUGGGAACUGCCAUUGAUACUAUCAGUCUUGAAUACCGUGGAGGUUAGCGGAAUUUGUCAUGUAGCGGUGAAAUGCUUAGAUAUGACAUAGAACACCAAUUGCGAAGGCAGCUGGCUACACGAAUAUUGACACUGAGGCACGAAAGCGUGGGGAUCAAACAGG